ACACCAAUUGUGUGAGCUACCAGAAAAGUCCAAUAUGUCUCCUCGAUCUCUUCUAUAAAACAAGAACUAACCCUAUCCUGGUUUUUGUAUUUCCAUGCGCUAGCUGCAGCGAAGAGCUCUUUUAUCAUUUAGAAUCGACAACAAAAUCCUGAGCUCUUCAACCGUUUCGAAAUCAAUAUCCUUCCUAGUGCAGCUGGAGUGUUCCAAAGGGAUCGCAUUGAUCUAAUGACUCUCGAUGUCUAAAUCAUAUUAAUGUUUAGUUUUUUCGUUGGAUCAUGCGAUCCCUUAGGAAUUUUCCAGCAUUCAGCUCUAAAUUUCCACCAUGUUUUCAAGCUUUGGUUUUGGUUCAAACAUUUUGUACUCAUCUGCUGCAAGGAAAAUCUAGCUUGUAGUGAGAUUUUCUUCCACCCCAGGAGACAAGAACCAACAUGAAUGUCCUCGUAGACAAACAACUGCCUCCCAUGUCGGAUUCUCCUUUCCUAUGGGCCUAAGAUAGUGCAUUUGAUUUGUUGCUGCUUCUGUCUUUAUUGAUACUCGUACGAGCUAGCUAGCAUUGAAAGUGGCAACUAGCUAACGCAGUGCUCAUCGAAUGACUCGGAAGGAAUCUGUCAUUAUAGAAUUUAGCUUAUUAAUUACAAUCCGUACCAGGGAAAUAAACCGUCCUUGUUUUCAUAUUUUUUACAUAAUAUAUAUAUAUUCUUGGUAUAAA